rnacentral:rRNA from 1 species
GCAGCCGCGGUAAUACGAGGGGCCCGAGCGUUAUUCGGAAUCACUGGGCUUAAAGGGAACGCAGGCUGGCUCGCAAGCAUCUCGUGAAAUCCCCCGGCUCAACCGGGGAACUGCGGGGUGAACUGCGAGCCUUGAGGUGGGUAGAGGUCGUCGGAACGAUCGGUGGAGCGGUGAAAUGCGUAGAUAUCGAUCGGAACGCCAAAGGUGAAGACAGGCGACUGGGCCCAACCUGACGCUCAUGUUCGAAAGCGUGGGGAGCAAACAGGAUUAGAUACCCUGGUAGUCCACGCCCUAAACGUUGUGCACUAGGCCCCGGGCGUUUCAACGCGUUCGGGGUCGAAGAGAAAUCGAUAAGUGCACCGCCUGGGGAGUACGGUCGCAAGGCUAAAACUCAAAGGAAUUGACGGGGGCUCACACAAGCGGUGGAGCAUGUUGCUUAAUUCGAAGCAACGCGAAGAACCUUACCUGGGCUUGACAUGCACGGAUUAACUCUAUGAAAGUAGAGCCACGCCUUCGGGUGGAACGUGCACAGGUGCUGCAUGGCUGUCGUCAGCUCGUGCUGUGAAGUGUCGGGUUAAGUCCCUUAACGAGCGCAACCCUUAUCGCUAGUUGCCAUCAGGUUAUGCUGGGGACUCUAGCGAGACUGCCGGUGUCAAACCGGAGGAAGGUGGGGAUGACGUCAAGUCCUCAUGGCCCUUAUGUCCAGGGAUGCAAACGUGCUACAAUGGCGUGUACAGAGCGAUGCGAGCCCGCGAGGGGGAGCAAAUCGCAAAAAGCACGCCCCAGUUCGGAUUGCAGGCUGCAACUCGCCUGCAUGAAGCCGGAAUCGCU